rnacentral:rRNA from 1 species
AUUGAACGCUGGCGGCAGGCCUAACACAUGCAAGUCGAACGAGUGGCGGACGGGUGAGUAAUGUCUGGGAAACUGCCUGAUGGAGGGGGAUAACUACUGUAAACGGUAGCUAAUACCGCAUACCAUCGGAUGUGCCCAGAUGGGAUUAGCUAGUAGGUGGGGUAAAGUCUCACCUAGGAGACGAUCCCUAGCUGGUAUGAGAGGAUGACCAGCCACACUGGAACUUAGACACGGUCCAGACUCCUACGGGAGGCAGCAGUGGGGAAUAUUGCACAAUGGUCGCAAGCCUGAUACAGCCAUGCCGCGUGUAUGAAGAAGGCCUUCGGGUUGUAAAGUCCUUUCAGCGGGGAGGCGUUACCCGCAGAAGAAGCACCGGCUAACUCCGUGCCAGCAGCCGCGGUAAUUC